rnacentral:rRNA from 1 species
CAGCAGCCACGGGAAUACGGAGGGUGCAAGCGUUAAUCGGAAUUACUGGGCGUAAAGCGCACGCAGGCGGUCUGACAAGUCAGAUGUGAAAUCCCCGGGCUUAACCUGGGAACUGCAUUUGAAACUGUCAGGCUGGAGUCUUGUAGAGGGGGGUAGAAUUCCAGGUGUAGCGGUGAAAUGCGUAGAGAUCUGGAGGAAUACCGGUGGCGAAGGCGGCCCCCUGGACAAAGACUGACGCUCAGGUGCGAAAGCGUGGGGAGCAAACAGGAUUAGAUACCCCGGUAGUCCCUGUCUCUUAUAC